rnacentral:rRNA from 1 species
UCCAGACUCCUACGGGAGGCAGCAGUGGGGGAUAUUGCACAAUGGGGGGAACCCUGAUGCAGCGACGCCGCGUGGGUGAAGGAGCACCUCGGUGCGUAAAGCCCUAUCGGCAGGGAAGAAACAGACGGUACCUGACUAAGAAGCCCCGGCUAACUACGUGCCAGCAGCCGCGGUAAUACGUAGGGGGCGAGCGUUAUCCGGAUUCACUGGGUGUAAAGGGAGCGUAGACGGCCAUGCAAGCCAGGGGUGAAAGCCCGGGGCCCAACCCCGGGACUGCCCUUGGAACUGCAUGGCUGGAGUGCGGGAGGGGCAGGCGGAAUUCCUGGUGUAGCGGUGAAAUGCGUAGAUAUCAGGAGGAACACCGGUGGCGAAGGCGGCCUGCUGGACUGCGACUGACGUUGAGGCCCGAAAGCGUGGGGAGCAAACAGGAUUAGAUACCCUGGUAAAA